UACGUAGGGUGCAAGCGUUGUCCGGAAUUAUUGGGCGUAAAGAGCUCGUAGGCGGUCUGUCGCGUCGGCUGUGAAAACCCGGGGCUCAACCCCGGGCCUGCAGCCGAUACGGGCAGCUAGAAUUCGGUAGGGGAGACUGGAAUUCCUGGUAUAGCGGUGAAAUGCGCAGAUAUCAGGAGGAACACCGGUGGCGAAGGCGGGUCUCUGGGCCGAAAUUGACGCUGAGGAGCGAAAGCGUGGGAGCAAACAGG
rnacentral:rRNA from 1 species